UAAUACGUAUGUUGCGAGCGUUAUCCGGAAUUAUUGGGCUUAAAGGGCAUCUAGGCGGUAAGACAAGUUGAAGGUGAAAACCUGUGGCUCAACCAUAGGCUUGCCUACAAAACUGUUGAACUAGAGUACUGGAAAGGUGGGUGGAACUACACGAGUAGAGGUGAAAUUCGUAGAUAUGUGUAGGAAUGCCGAUGAUGAAGAUAACUCACUGGACAGAAACUGACGCUGAAGUGCGAAAGCUAGGGGAGCAAACAGGAUUAGAUACCCUGGUAGUCCUAGCUGUAAACGAUGAUCACUGGGUGUGGGGAUGCGAAGUCUCUGUGCCGAAGCAAAAGCGAUAAGUGAUCCGCCUGGGGAGUACGUUCGCAAGAAUGAA
rnacentral:rRNA from 1 species